UACGGAGGGUGCAAGCGUUAAUCGGAAUUACUGGGCGUAAAGCGCACGCAGGCGGUCUGUCAAGUCGGAUGUGAAAUCCCCGGGCUCAACCUCGGAACUGCAUCCGAUACUGGCAGGCUAGAGUCUUGUAGAGGGGGGUAGAAUUCCAGGUGUAGCGGUGAAAUGCGUAGAGAUCUGGAGGAAUACCGGUGGCGAAGGCGGCCCCCUGGCCCCAGACUAACGCUCAGGCGCGAAAGCGUGGGGAGCAAACA
rnacentral:rRNA from 1 species